UACGUGAGGGUGCGAGCGUUAAUCGGAAUACUGGGCGUAAAGCGUGCGCAGGCGGUGAUGUAAGACAGAUGUGAAAUCCCCGGGCUCAACCUGGGAACUGCAUUUGUGACUGCAUCGCUGGAGUGCGGCAGAGGGGAUGGAAUUCCGCGUGUAGCAGUGAAAUGCGUAGAUAUGCGGAGGAACACCGAUGGCGAAGGCAAUCCCCUGGGCCUGCACUGACGCUCAUGCACGAAAGCGUGGGGAGCAAACAGG
rnacentral:rRNA from 1 species